AGAGCGAACGCUGGCGGCAGGCCUAACACAUGCAAGUCGAGCGCCGUAGCAAUACGGAGCGACAGACGGGAGAGUAACACGUGGGAACGUACCCUUUGGUUCGGAACAACCCAGGGAAACUUGGGCUAAUACCGAAUAAGCCCUUACGGGGAAAGAUUUAUCGCCGAAGGAUCGGCCCGCGUCUGAUUAGCUAGUUGGUGGGGUAACGGCCCACCAAGGCGACGAUCAGUAGCUGGUCUGAGAGGAUGAUCAGCCUCAUUGGGACUGAGACACGGCCCAAACUCCUACGGGAGGCAGCAGUGGGGAAUCUUGCGCAAUGGGGAAACCCUGACGCAGCGACGCCGCGUGCGGGAUGAAGGCCUUCGGGUUGUAACCGCUUUCAGCAGGGACGAAAUUGACGGUACCUGCAGAAGAAGGCCCGGCCAACUACGCGCCAGCAGCCGC
rnacentral:rRNA from 1 species